UUUAAUGAAGUUUUCGGAUGGAUUUAAACAGCUUAGUGGCGGACGGGUGAGUAACGCGUGGGUAACCUGCCUCGCACAGGGGAUAACAGUUGGAAACGGCUGCUAAUACCGCAUAAGCGCACAGUAACCGCAUGGUUACAGUGUGAAAAACUUCCGGUGGUGUGAGAUGGACCCGCGUCUGAUUAGCUAGUUGGCAGGGCAACGGCCUACCAAGGCGACGAUCAGUAGUCGACCUGAGAGGGUGACCGGCCACAUUGGGACUGAGACACGGCCCAAACUCC
rnacentral:rRNA from 1 species